GGUUAAGCGACUAAGCGUACACGGUGGAUGCCCUGGCAGUCAGAGGCGAUGAAGGACGUGCUAAUCUGCGAAAAGCGUCGGUAAGGUGAUAUGAACCGUUACAGCCGGCGAUGUCCGAAUGGGGAAACCCAGUGCAAUUCGUUGCACUAUCGUUUGAUGAAUACAUAGUCAAACGAGGCGAACCGGGGGAACUGAAACAUCUAAGUACCCCGAGGAAAAGAAAUCAACCGAGAUUCCCCCAGUAGCGGCGAGCGAACGGGGAGCAGCCCGGAGUCUGAAUCAGCUUGUGUGUUAGUGGAAGCGUCUGGAAAGUCGCAGGGUACAGGGUGAUACUCCCGUACACUAAAACACACAGGUUGUGAACUCGAAGAGUAGGGCGGGACACGUGGUAUCCUGUCUGAAUAUGGGGGGACCAUCCUCCAAGGCUAAAUACUCCUGACUGACCGAUAGUGAACCAGUACCGUGAGGGAAAGGCGAAAAGAACCCCGGCGAGGGGAGUGAAAAAGAACCUGAAACCGUGUACGUACAAGCAGUAGGAGCCCACUAGUUGGGUGACUGCGUACCUUUUGUAUAAUGGGUCAGCGACUUAUAUUCUGUAGCAAGGUUAACCGUAUAGGGGAGCCGCAGGGAAACCGAGUCUUAACUGGGCGUUAAGUUGCAGGGUAUAGACCCGAAACCCGGUGAUCUAGCCAUGGGCAGGUUGAAGGUUGGGUAACACUAACUGGAGGACCGAACCGACUAAUGUUGAAAAAUUAGCGGAUGACUUGUGGCUGGGGGUGAAAGGCCAAUCAAACCGGGAGAUAGCUGGUUCUCCCCGAAAGCUAUUUAGGUAGCGCCUCGUGAACUCAUCUUCGGGGGUAGAGCACUGUUUCGGCUAGGGGGUCAUCCCGACUUACCAACCCGAUGCAAACUACGAAUACCGAAGAAUGUUAUCACGGGAGACACACGGCGGGUGCUAACGUCCGUCGUGAAGAGGGAAACAACCCAGACCGCCAGCUAAGGUCCCAAAGUCAUGGUUAAGUGGGAAACGAUGUGGGAAGGCCCAGACAGCCAGGAUGUUGGCUUAGAAGCAGCCAUCAUUUAAAGAAAGCGUAAUAGCUCACUGGUCGAGUCGGCCUGCGCGGAAGAUGUAACGGGGCUAAACCAUGCACCGAAGCUGCGGCAGCGACACUAUGUGUUGUUGGGUAGGGGAGCGUUCUGUAAGCCGUUGAAGGUGGCCUGUGAGGGUUGCUGGAGGUAUCAGAAGUGCGAAUGCUGACAUAAGUAACGAUAAUGCGGGUGAAAAACCCGCACGCCGGAAGACCAAGGGUUCCUGUCCAACGUUAAUCGGGGCAGGGUGAGUCGACCCCUAAGGCGAGGCCGAAAGGCGUAGUCGAUGGGAAACAGGUUAAUAUUCCUGUACUCGGUGUUACUGCGAAGGGGGGACGGAGAAGGCUAUGUUGGCCGGGCGACGGUUGUCCCGGUUUAAGCAUGUAGGCGGAUGUUCCAGGUAAAUCCGGAACGUUACUAACGCUGAGGUGUGAUGACGAGGCACUACGGUGCUGAAGUGACAAAUGCCCUGCUUCCAGGAAAAGCCUCUAAGCAUCAGGUAACAUCAAAUCGUACCCCAAACCGACACAGGUGGUCAGGUAGAGAAUACCAAGGCGCUUGAGAGAACUCGGGUGAAGGAACUAGGCAAAAUGGUGCCGUAACUUCGGGAGAAGGCACGCUGAUGGUAAGUGAAGUGACUUGCUCAUGGAGCUGAAAUCAGUCGAAGAUACCAGCUGGCUGCAACUGUUUAUUAAAAACACAGCACUGUGCAAACACGAAAGUGGACGUAUACGGUGUGACGCCUGCCCGGUGCCGGAAGGUUAAUUGAUGGGGUUAUCCGUAAGGAGAAGCUCUUGAUCGAAGCCCCGGUAAACGGCGGCCGUAACUAUAACGGUCCUAAGGUAGCGAAAUUCCUUGUCGGGUAAGUUCCGACCUGCACGAAUGGCGUAAUGAUGGCCAGGCUGUCUCCACCCGAGACUCAGUGAAAUUGAACUCGCUGUGAAGAUGCAGUGUACCCGCGGCAAGACGGAAAGACCCCGUGAACCUUUACUAUAGCUUGACACUGAACACUGGUCCUUGAUGUGUAGGAUAGGUGGGAGGCUUUGAAGUGUGGACGCCAGUCUGCAUGGAGCCAUCCUUGAAAUACCACCCUUUAAUGGCUGGUGUUCUAACGUGGGCCCCUAAUCGGGGUUGCGGACAGUGUCUGGUGGGUAGUUUGACUGGGGCGGUCUCCUCCUAAAGAGUAACGGAGGAGCACGAAGGUCAGCUAAUCCUGGUCGGACAUCAGGAGGUUAGUGCAAUGGCAUAAGCUGGCUUGACUGCGAGCGUGACGGCGCGAGCAGGUGCGAAAGCAGGUCAUAGUGAUCCGGUGGUUCUGAAUGGAAGGGCCAUCGCUCAACGGAUAAAAGGUACUCCGGGGAUAACAGGCUGAUACCGCCCAAGAGUUCAUAUCGACGGCGGUGUUUGGCACCUCGAUGUCGGCUCAUCACAUCCUGGGGCUGAAGUAGGUCCCAAGGGUAUGGCUGUUCGCCAUUUAAAGUGGUACGCGAGCUGGGUUUAGAACGUCGUGAGACAGUUCGGUCCCUAUCUGCCGUGGGCGCUGGAGAAUUGAGGGGGGCUGCUCCUAGUACGAGAGGACCGGAGUGGACGCAUCACUGGUGUUCGGGUUGUCAUGCCAAUGGCAUUGCCCGGUAGCUAAAUGCGGAAGAGAUAAGUGCUGAAAGCAUCUAAGCACGAAACUUGCCCCGAGAUGAGUUCUCCCUGACCCUUUAAGGGUCCUGAAGGAACGUUGAAGACGACGACGUUGAUAGGCCGGGUGUGUAAGCGCAGCGAUGCGUUGAGCUAACCGGUACUAAUGAACCGUGAGGCUUAACCUU
rnacentral:rRNA from 1 species